rnacentral:lncRNA from 1 species
AGAAAAUCAAAACAGUACAUGAAGUUGUAAUUAUGACCCAAAAUCGAUACAUGCCGUUAUUUUUUCUGUUAUUUGGUGUCUCUACCGUUAAACUUCAAAAGAUAAAUUCGUCUUUCUCUUGCUUCCUCCUUCUAUCUCUGAAACUAGAAAAAGCUGCAGUAACUUUGCAAACUCUUUUAAAUAUAAAAUAGAUGAGCAUGACCAAAAAAAACCCAAAAUCCCAAAACCCUGUAUGGUUCAUUGGUUCUUCUACCAUGGGUUUUAAUCUCCAAUUUAUUUAUGAAACCCAUUGCUUCCUAGUGAGCCCAACCGCUGUCCUCUCACCAGAAUCAUCGUCUUAAAUGAAAAGUUAAAAAAAAAAAAAAAAACUAAGAUUNNNNNNNNNNNNNNNNNNNNNNNNNNNNNNNNNNNNNNNNNNNNNNNNNNNNNNNNNNNNNNNNNNNNNNNNNNNNNNNNNNNNNNNNNNNNNNNNNNNNNNNNNNNNNNNNNNNNNNNNNNNNNNNNNNNNNNNNNNNNNNNNNNNNNNNNNNNNNNNNNNNNNNNNNNNNNNNNNNNNNNNNNNNNNNNNNNNNNNNNNNNNNNNNNNNNNNNNNNNNNNNNNNNNNNNNNNNNNNNNNNNNNNNNNNNNNNNNNNNNNNNNNNNNNNNNNNNNNNNNNNNNNNNNNNNNNNNNNNNNNNNNNNNNNNNNNNNNNNNNNNNNNNNNNNNNNNNNNNNNNNNNNNNNNNNNNNNNNNNNNNNNNNNNNNNNNNNNNNNNNNNNNNNNNNNNNNNNNNNNNNNNNNNNNNNNNNNNNNNNNNNNNNNNNNNNNNNNNNNNNNNNNNNNNNNNNNNNNNNNNNNNNNNNNNNNNNNNNNNNNNNNNNNNNNNNNNNNNNNNNNNNNNNNNNNNNNNNNNNNNNNNNNNNNNNNNNNNNNNNNNNNNNNNNNNNNNNNNNNNNNNNNNNNNNNNNNNNNNNNNNNNNNNNNNNNNNNNNNNNNNNNNNNNNNNNNNNNNNNNNNNNNNNNNNNNNNNNNNNNNNNNNNNNNNNNNNNNNNNNNNNNNNNNNNNNNNNNNNNNNNNNNNNNNNNNNNNNNNNNNNNNNNNNNNNNNNNNNNNNNNNNNNNNNNNNNNNNNNNNNNNNNNNNNNNNNNNNNNNNNNNNNNNNNNNNNNNNNNNNNNNNNNNNNNNNNNNNNNNNNNNNNNNNNNNNNNNNNNNNNNNNNNNNNNNNNNNNNNNNNNNNNNNNNNNNNNNNNNNNNNNNNNNNNNNNNNNNNNNNNNNNNNNNNNNNNNNNNNNNNNNNNNNNNNNNNNNNNNACACAUCUUCGUUCCCAUCACAACCCCCAACCUUAGUGAUUUUAGUGGGAUUGAAUGCAAUUUGUUAUUUUUUUAUUUUUUAUUUUUUCUUGAUAUCAAGUCAUCACUUGACAAAGGAAUUGGAUGAAGAUUAGAGGUUUGGACAUGCGCAGUUGAUGAAAAUUGGGAGUUGAGGGGUGUUUUUGAUGAAAUUGAAAGAAGAAUGACUAACAUGAUAAUCGACCUAAGUUGAUAGAGGUAAACUGAAAUUAGUUCUUAAGAAAAUUAGCUAGAUAUAGUACAAAUUGAAAACAUACUUAAAACAAUACUAAACAUCGAUCAUACAAAAAGUAGUUAAAGAAAGGGAAGAACAAAGAGCAACAAAGUGUCUCUAAUUCUCCACUCUCUUCCUCCUCUUUAUUCACUUGAAGCAACAUUUAUUUAUAGGACAACAAUGAUCUUCAUUCCAUCUUCAUCUCCAUGUGAAUGUGAUUUUUCCUUCCGUCCAAAAUCUCAUGCUAGCUUGAUGGAACAUGUUCACUCAUAAAUGAUUUUACACACCACUUUCUUUUCAUCAAUUCCUUUUGUCUUCAACAUCUUUUACUAAUUUCACUUCUUAAGUGUGAAGAGAAACAAGUACGUACAAGAUCUUUGAAGUUUUGAAAGGUGAGCUCCUAGAUUCAUGCAAGCUUGUUCCAUGCAAUCUUGUCUUUGGCAAUUCUUCAUAUAAUUCCCCAUUUGUUUCCAUCAAUUCAUGCACAUUCCUAUAUGAAUCAAGCAACCAAAGUAAAUUCAACAUUUGAUGGCUAAGGUUACAUUUUCCACACAUCACACUUAAUGCAAUGAGAAAGCAAUCCACCAAUGUAUGAUAUGCAUGCUACUAGAACAAGAAGAACAUGUGUUGCAACUAUUCAUCUAAAUUAAGGGAAAAAGACUCAUGUUAAAAAUAAGGACUCAAUUUACUAUUUGAAAAUAGAUAAAUUGCUUCUAUAUAUUUAACAUUUUAUUUAUUUAUGACAACAUCUAUAAGAAUACAAAAACAAACUAAAUAACUCAAACUACUAAAGACAAAUAACUAACACAUAAAUUAGGGAUAAAAAUAUGGUAUAAAAUGUGCCCAUCACUUGUCAAUCGCUUCCUUAACCACAUCAAACAGCAACCCGAAUGCUGCUCUGAGAGCUGCCCCGCUUAGAAACUCCCCUACCAUUACCAGUUUGUUGGCUGCAUGAGAAAAAGAGAAAAGAAGAGUGAAAAACAUACAGGCGCGCGGAGACUACUGAACUUGAAAUGGAGCCAAUAAUUCAAGUGUUAAUUUGGAACAUAGGCCUAUUUCUUAUAAAUUAAAGAAGCAAGAUCAAUUACAGAAACUUAGCUGCUCCAAAGGGUUUGCUUGGGGGAAGUCUCUAUAGAAGAAGAAGAAGAAGAAGAAGAAGAAGAAGAAGAAGAAGAAGAAGAAGAAGAAACUUCUCGAAAGAUACCUUUAGUUAUUUUUCUCACUUUUAUUUCUAUCUCUGAUUUGUUGUGAAUUUGUGAUUAGUCCAAGUCCACGCACUGAUUGAUGAUCAACGUACAUAAAAAAAGGAUAGGAUGGCCGGAGAAAUUUAAAACUAGUGCGUGACAGUUUCCGGGAAGCUUUCAUAGUUUCAUGCACGGUAACAUUUAUUAAGUAACAAAACACCUAUGAUCCUAGAUUCAAAAAAAAAAAAAAACAACCUAUGAUCCUUAACUUCAAAGGUCCUUUAAGUUUGUGAGACUUUUUAAUCGAUCCAACUAUAUAUUAUGCAUCUUAAGAAGAUCAACAAGGAAAGACUAGCUGUAGCUUGGAUAUAUAAAUGGGUACAUAGCCAGCUAAUUCAUGUUACAAGUCUCACAAUAAGCUUGGUGAGUAACAAACAAGCUUGGUGAGAACGUUAACCAAUAAAUUCUGUUACAAAUUAUGUUACUUCUUCAAAAAAAUUACCGACAAUUAUUCACAUAUAUAAACGCCAGUCUUUUGGUCUAAUGUUUCAUAAAAGCUUAUUGUUGAUAUCCAUCGGCAUAAGUUAACGAUGAAAUUUAGUGUUAGCAAUAGGAUGAUUUUAUCGCGCCGUCACCUUCUCUUUUUAUCGCGUAGUGGCAUGCACCGUUAACAAAAGGCAGGUGGGGUGAAGAAAGAGAAACUUUGUUGCUCAACGAUACUUCCGGGAUUUCGAAACCAAAACAAUGAGACUACGUCGUUUCACGUAUGACCACACAUGCUUUUAUAUAUACUUCCCUCCUCAUUUUCGAAACCAAAAGCUAGGAGCUAACUCAAAUUAAUGUUGUUAGCAUUGAUCGAAGCCAUCCCUAAGUAUAAGGGGCAUAAUAGAAUAGUGGGGUUUAGAAUAAAAGUUGUCGAACCCAAGGGAUUAAGAAAUCCCACUUUAGCUAGUGGAGUCUUAAGGUAAGUUAGAUGGAUGUACAAAUAUACAAAUUACUAACAACGACUUAAAGGAGAGCUAACGUCCAUGGUGGGUAUGUAUAAUAUGAAGUGUUGAGAUUAAAUUGUAAUCACUAAAGUAAGAAAUGUAAAAUAAGCUAGACCAAAUGAUUUGUUGUCAAAUGGAUGGGGGUUGGGGCAUCAGGUUUCACCUUUUGCCUCCCUUACAAGCAUUAAAGCAAUCAAAUAAGAACGAUGCGAAACUACUUGUCCAACUACCCUCUUAGCAUUCAGAUCAGACUACUAGGGCUUAAACCCCUCUGAUUUUAUCAACUCUAAACGGAAAAGUCUAGAGUUAACUACAAAGUGACAAAUUCAAUUACCAGAUAGGCCUCAAUCCUUUGUCUCUAAGUGCAUAAAGCUUAGAUUUAGGUAGCCAAUCAAGCAAACAAGCCAAUCAUAUCUCUAAGUGGUUUUAGCUCACCACUCUCACAUGUACACAUGGGAUGCUCUCAUUGCCUAAAGGUAAUCAAUCUCUAGCAAACAUCAAGUUAUGACAAACACAUCAACUCAAAUUAAUUAAGUCCAAGCAAACACAUUCAACUAUUGGCCUAGCAUGUGAAAAUGACAAUAUGGAAUUGCAUCAAUUCAUAGACAAAAGCAUCAAUACAAAGUUUGGUUAGAUAAGCCAUGUUGUACAUACAGUUAGAAUUUUCUGAGAGGUAACUGGGUAAGUCAUACGUACUUCAUAUACAUUCAAACAAAAAUGUUCAAAUGAUCAUAUCCUAAACAAAAGUACUUUCAAUCACAACCUCUCUAUUUAUUUCAUGAUCACACACUAGAAUGCUUAGCUCUCCAAACUCUUGUCCACAUUAUGAACAAUUUCACUUGUGGACCAUUUAGUUUUAGUUUUCCUUCGAUAUGUUCACCAGAUCAAGAUGAUCACCUGUUCAUACCAGGUUUUUUUUUCAUGUUAUUUAAUAACAUUAUUAAUCUUGAUGUUGUGAUCGAUUAUGUGGCGCAAUAUUUAUAGAUUUGAUCUGUUUUGUUUAGCUAGCUCGGCCUCACAGUCCAUUUUCCUUAUUUUGGAAUCGGAGAGCGUAAUUUUUGUUUUGAAAAGUGAUUUGAGGAUUUUUUAGAGAUUUCACCUCUGUGUCUCAGUAGAUUUCACCUCAGUAGGAUAUCAGGACAGUAAAUAGAGUUGGUAAGUUUAUUUGAAAGUUGAAUAUGAUCUUUGUAAUUAUGCGGAAAUCGAAACAUAUGUGAAACUUUUUACUAGAUCUGUAUGAAUAGAAGUUGUGUGGAAUUGUUCGAUUUAUCUAUUCAUCAAUCACAUAUGUAAUUUCCACAUGUACGUGCUUGAUAUCUAGCUGAUGCGAACCCUCAAGACAAGAGCUGGUAAAUUUAUUUGAAAGUUGAAUAUGUUGGACAAUCUAAUAGAUCUCUGAAACUGUUAGAACUUUCAAUAUGAUGUAGUAUUUGGUUUGGAGCUCAUUGAUUACAAAUUUGGUUACAGAUGGCUACAUCUAGAUUGGAGAAAUUAACAGUCCAGUCGUAGAAGUGGUUAUCAAUCAAUAUUUAGCACCAAAUGAUAAUAGAGGACUCAAUUUUUCUUCGGGUAUUCGUUCAGUAUUUAUAUGAAGGUUUUCUUUUGGUUUUGUCUAUGUUUCUUUUGGUUACAGCUGCCCUCCUUCUUCUUGUCACACUUCACAGAACAUGAAAUACUCAGCCGCUAGAUCAUAAUAACUUGCUUAGUUUAUUGAAGUUUUUCUUCUUCUCACUUUUGAUAAUUUGUUUAAUAUCUUUUCCUAUAAUCUAUUAUCAUUUCGAAGGUCGGGAGGAUAUGCAAUCGUAGUCCGUUGCACAAAUAUUUUUGAUGGAUAUAAUUAUGUCAUUAGGAAGACUUUAAUUGGUGAAGAAUACCCUGACUAUUAUAUUUAAUUUCAUAAAGUCUACACGUAGAGGAUGCCAUUUGAUAAGUAAGUUCUAACUUAGUUUUUGGUGCUUCUUAUGAGAUAAAUGAUCGGUACUGUAGUUUAUAAACAAGUUUGCCGAAAAAAAGAAACCUGAACAUGAGAUUUAUUAAUAUUCCUAAAUAUAAGGUAAUUUUUUGUGGUCCAAACGCAAUAGCAAGUAAUAAGAAUUUUAGAUAAAAUAUUAUAGUUCAAAAUGUAGUUUGAAAAAGUGAAUAAAUCGUUGAAAAUUAAUCUUUUUAAAAAGUGAUCGUUACUGGCAGCUUGGACGUUGUGUUAUUAAUUUAGAAAAUUAAUCGUAGUUUGAAUUUUUAAGUAUAAUUUUGUAUACGAGAUGGAGAUCGAUUGUACAUAAUACACUGUUACUAUGAAGAUUAAUCUAGCAUCUAACACACCAUAGAAACCUCGCUUUUGUUGAGAAUCACCUGGUAAUAUUAUGAUGUGAAAGACAUGAAAUUGAUGGCUACAGUGCAUGGCUUUAGUUCUUCGGCAAUGUGUGACCCUAUAAAUUUGAUUUGUGAGAAAUUUGUUAACGAAAUUGUAUACAAAUCCGUGAACCCUUAAAUGCAUCAUGUUAUAUCUUUAAAAAAAAAGACCAACAAAAAACCAACAAAAUUAGGUUGUUUGUCACAUACAUAAACGUGACUCUUUACUCUUUUGGUUGUUUUCUAAAAGCUUACUGUCGACGAGUAAAUUAAGUGACGAAAUUUUUUCAACGUAAGUGUCGCUAUAGUAUAAAUAACCCAGCAUUCUACCCGUGCAAAUUUACACGUUAUCACAAAUUCACCCAAAAUUAAUGAGCGGUUAAUCCACAUUCUAUCCAUUACCCUAAACCCUGAAUUCUAAACUCUAAAGCCUUGGUAUCAGCAUCCUCUGUCCUCCAUUUGUUGUAUGAGAUACUUCAUCUCCUUCUGGCCUCUCUGAAGGUAUAGAGCACCUGAGAGGAGCACAAAGGAUGCUGAUACCAAGGCUGAUAUCUACAACGCAGGGAUUCUUUUGUUCGAAAUGCUUCAGCCUUUUACAAGCAAUUCAGACAGAGCCAGAGUUCUUCAUAACUUGAGGGAGAAAAAAACCUUUCCCAACAAAGCCUGGAACGAUAACCCUGUGAAGAAAUGGGUGCUGCGAAUGAUUGAUGACACACCUUCAGAGAGGCCCUCAGCAGCCUAUCUUCUGCACAACUAUGGUGAGAUUAAAGAUGACAUUCUAUUGUCCGAUGCAAUGUCCAGCAUAUAGAAGUUCUGUCCAUGACAGUCUUCUUUCUCACAAGACUAUUUGAUGUGAAAAGGAGAAUAACAAUGUUAGACAAUAGUAUUUCGGUCAGUACUUCAGAUUUAACUCCUCAGCUUUUGCGCAUUAUGCUUGGAUGCUUGCCAGAACAAGUAUAAAAUGCUUUUGAACAUGUAGAUCUAACUGAUGAGGCAACAUGCUUUUGAAUUAGACAACCUCAUUAUUGUCUCUUCUGGAUCUUAUGGUGUCUAUAUAAUAUUUUUUUUUUCUGUGUGAAAUCAGUAAAAAUGUGAAGGGAAGUGAAUGUUAAAACAAGAAGAUAGGAGGUGUUUACACCCAAAUUAAUAUUUUACUGGACAGUAAUUGUCUAUGUGAAUAUUAGUUAAAUUCAUGAUUCACGUCACACCGACGAGCCCAAAAUAAUUGAGUUUAUAAAUGAUGACCCGUUAGCAAACAAAGUCAUGCGAGCUGAAUAUUCGCACGCGAGGUGAUGACUUUGCGCAGGGGGCUUCGAGUAGGAGACUGCGUGAGGAAACAGAGGAGAAGAGUUCGCAUGGGAGAGGACUAAGGUAUUGGCCGCAUAUGUUGACUGAAUGGAUAGUGGAGCAAGUAUCCUUAAUUGCAUAAAAGGCUAUAUGUGUGUGGCUCGCCAGUAGAAGAGUUUGCAUGUAUUAAGGUUGCUAUUCCUUAAUCACAUGAAUGCAAGUGUAUGUGCUCCCUAUGUGUUUUACAGGCGAAGGAAAAUGCUUGCAUGCGAAGAGCCAGGGACUUCGCAUAGAAGUUGAGUCCUACAUGGAUGGAAAGAGAUGUAAUGCAAGUCAACGUUUGCAUGCGAAAUAGAUAGAGGACCUCGCGAAGUAUAAGGUUGCAUGCGAGAAGGAUUGCAUGCGAAGUAUAAGGUUGCAUGCGAGAUGGAUUGCGUGUGAAGAGAGAGGUUGCAUGUGAGACGGAAGGCGCGCGAGGAAGAAGUUUGCAAAAUGAAUUUGGACGGGAGUGCAAUCAAGUUUGGUAUAGACGUGAAGCAUACUAUCACUCCUAGUUCUAUUUGAUUAAAGAGAUAUACACGCAGACUUCUAGUAUUCAAGGGCACUCAUACAGUGCUUAAAGGGAGCAUACGUCCAAGAAGUGUUCUAGGCGAACUCUAUUGUUUAGAACAGAGCGACGACCAUGAGGUGAUUAACAUCGCCUACGCCACAUUUAUUGUUGAAGACUUCUACAAGUUUUUGACAUGCUUUGGGUCAAUACCUGUGGCCCUAAAAAUAACUUAUAUAAAUGAGUUCGAGGACACUUAACAACUCUACAAAAUACAAUACAACCUUCAACACAGUUGAACCUCCAAACGCUCCCCGCAACUUUUCUUUCGUUUCCCUGUACGCUCCCCGAAGCUUUCUCUUUUUUUCUUUCAUUUCCUUCCCAGUUGAAGCUCUGCUCGAUCUUACGUCGAGUAUCGAUAUUGUGACGCUCACGUCGAGUAUCGAUAUUGUGACGCUCAGGCGGACUACUGUAAGUCCUUGCCGAGUACGCAAGGCGAAUCUGAAGAACCCUGCGGUGGAGUUGGUGCUCUCUCCAUCCUCAGUCGCUUGAUUAGAAACAAAAGGCUAAGCGCACCCCGUUACUACGACUACUACAUUCUGCGUCCGUGCGGUGGCACGCCCGCAACGACUAAAAGAGACUUUGCAUACCCAGACUUACUGAUGUGGCCAAAACAGGAGGUGGCAUAGGCGAAGGUACACUAAGGCCAAAGGGUGCCAUGGCACCCCUUUGAUUUUAUUCUAUGCAUGUAUUCUCCUUGAUUGGCAUCCUUUUGAUUUUAUUCUCCUUGAUUACUUAGAUAGAAAUAGAAAUCACUAUUUGAUUAUAUGUAUUGGUUACUACCCUUUUUUUCCUUUCUUUUUCUCUAGAAUAGUAAACAAACGUCUGCCAUGAUUAAUAUAGUAUUUUACGGCUCUAUUAAUACAUUUUAAUUGGUUCAAGCUCUUUUUCUUUUUUUUAGAGAAAUAACAUAAUUUUAUUCAGAAUGAAAGAGACUACAAAACAUGGGAAUUAUCGGUGGAGGAAGAAUUUUCCCCACUCAUUUCCCUACUACCAGAAACAGUUACGGGUCUGUCGCUAUCAAUGACAUCCAUGAGCCAAUCGGGCCCAACCUCUAACCAAACUAACCACCCAUUUAAUCGGGCUACAUACUUAGCCACUACAUCAGCCGCACUAUUCGCAGUCCUAGAGACGUGAGAGAGCUUAGGACUACCAACAACAACCAACAGAGCUCUAACUCGAUCAACCAAUAUCCCCUCUUAAGCAAGACACUCACCAACAUCAUUUACCACUCUCACAGCCUCUAAACAAUCACAUUCAACCUUCUCUAGUAACCAAUUAUGCUCUACUACAUAUUCCAGCCCCUUACAGAUUGCCAACAACUCAGCAACACUUGGCCAAAAACGGCCUUGGACUCUUUCUCCUCCCGCUAGCACCAGAUCCCCCAAAUGGUUUCUCACAACAACUCCCACUCCAAUAUAAACUCCAUUAUUAAUAACAGAAGCAUCAGUAUUUAAGCUUAACAUACCAGGGCUAGGAGGUUGCCAUGCCAUACCAAUUAUAGACCCCCCCACUUCUCCUGUGUGAUUGCAUACUAUUCUGCACCGCCAACAAACUUUCCCACAUCAACACACACUGGUCAUAUAUAAUAGAUGGGGGUCGAGGCCGUUCUCCAUGUAUGACCCUAUUUCUCUCACUCCAAUUGCUCCAAAGCAUUAUAACAAGCAUUUUCAUCUCAUCCACAGUUAAAACUUUGAAAGCAUGAUUCAAAAACUCAGUAAAGUUAGUCGACAUACCCGAAACCAGCUUGGAAUAGAAACUCACCCUCUCUAACACCGCAACACAAAACAAACUAGACCAGGUUACGUGCAAGGGCGUAUCAUCAGUAGCUUGGCACCUCGGACAUAAUGGACUUUGAACAAUAUACCUCUGAUACAACGGCCACAUGCAUGAAAUAAAUCCCAUCGAACACCUCCACAAAAAAUGAUUCAUCUUCGGUGGGACUUUGAGUUUCCAAAGAUGUUUCCAAUACACUGAAGCUAUCGGUGUAGAGCGAUUGCUCUCUUUUUUUACCAGCCAAUAAGCACUCUUAAAUGAAAACUUCCCCUGCUUAUUUUGAUUCCAAAUCAAUUUAUCUCGACACAUUGAUCAUGCAAUAGGGAUACUAAGCACAGCCUCCACUUCCUGUGUUGUAGCUACUUGCUCCAGCCUAUGCAUAUCCCACAAACCAGACACUGAAAUCAGAUAAUUCACUCUCAUAUUCCAAUCACAGCCAUUCUUCCAUGCAAUUUUAAAGUCAGGUAUUCCAGGUACCCAAGGGUCUUAAAAAACUUGGAUGUCGGCCCCAUUGCUUACCCUCCACCGAAGACCUUUAGUUAGAAGUUGUUUACCCCACAUCACAGCCCUCCAUAUACUGGAAGGAUUCCUCCCAAUAACAGCCUCCAAAAAAGAACUAUUAGGGUAGUAUUUAGCCUUCAACAUCCGACCAACCAAAGACUCCUCAUCUUGAAUUAGCCUCCAACCAAUUUUUCCAACCAAAGCUUGAUUAAAACACUAUAACUCCCUAAAACCCAAUCCACCUUCUCCCUUCGGCACACAAAGUGCAUCCCACCUCCUCCAAUGUAUACCUUUUCCACUAGAAUUUCCCCAUCAGUAUCUUACUAGAUGCCUGUUAAUUUCCUUACAAAUCCCUACCGGUAGCUAGAAAACACUCAUAGUGUAAGUAGGUAUUGACUGAGCCACAACUUUGAUCAACACCUCCUUACCACCCUUGGAAAGCAGUUUACCUUCCCAACCUUGUAUUUUCUGCCACACCCGAUCAACCACACCCUUGAAGACCUUCUUUUUAUUUCUCCCAGUCACUAUAGGCAAUCCCAAAUAACGUUCAUGGCAUGGAACAAUUUUCAUAUCCAACGCUGUACUACAAGCUUCCUUCACUACCCUCGUCGUUUGUGGAUUGAAACUAACAGCAGAUUUUUCCACACUGAUUUUCUGCCCCGAUGCCCUCUCAUACACAGCAAAAAUCUCCUUUAACUUGAGACAAUCUUGAACUGAAGCAUCACAAAACAACAAGCUAUCAUCAGCAAAGAACAUGUGUGUUACCGAUGGUGCACCCCGGGCAAUUGAAACUCCAUGCAAUAAUUUUUCUCUCUCCGCUUUUUUCAACAAAGCAGAAAAGCCUUCUGCAACUAAAAGAAAGAGAUAUGGGGAAAUAGGAUCUCCCUGGCGGAUUCCUCUAGAUGGAACAAUUCUACCAAAAGGUCUGCCUUGGAUGAGCACAGAGUAGGAAACCGACUGCACACACUCCAUUAGUAGCCGGGUAAACCGCAACGGAAAACCCAUAGCAAGCAUCAUCGCUCUCAAAAACUCCCAUUCGACUCUAUCAUAAGCCUUGGCCAUGUCUAAUUUGAUCGCUGUUUUCUGCCUACUUUUCUUCCCCCUUCUCUUUAAAUUAUACACUGUUUCAAACGCAGCAAUAACAUUGUCAUGAAUUAGUCGCCCUGGCACAAACGCGCUUUGGUAGUCCGCAAUCAAAUCCGGUAAGAUCACCUUCAAUCUGUUAGCCAAUGCCUUCGAAAUCAACUUAUAGAUGACAUUACACAAACUAAUAGGUCGAAACUCAGUCACCUUUUUUGGAGCCAGAAUUUUAGGAAUCAAAGCGAUUAAGGUGUGAUUCAGAUCCUUAACCGUGCCAUUCCCAUUGAGAAACUCCAAACACUUAUUAACCACCGCAUCCCCUACCACAGACCAAUACUUUUGAUAGAAAAGAGGCGGCAUACCGUUUGGCCCUAGAGAUUUUGUUGGUCCCAUAUCCUUUAACGCAGCUUCAAUUUCUCCUCUAGAAAAAGGUCUGUUAAGUGACACUCCUUGCUCCACCGUAACUCUACCAGCAACCUCCCCAAAAAUCCCAUGACUCAUAUCAGACCCUCCUGUAGAAAAAAGUUGUCUGAAAUAGUCCACGAAGACACAUCCAACAUUAACAUAACCAGUUCUCCAUCUGUUGUCCUCCCCCAAGACACCAGCAAUCUUAUUCAUAGCUCCCCUUUGCUUCGCAAAACUGUGGAAAAAUUUUGUGUUUCUAUCGCCACACUUUAACCAAUUCACCCGAGAGCGUUGACACCACAUAACUUCUUCCCGCUCAAGCACCUUGUCCAGCUCUCUUUCAGCAUCUUCUCUUUGUUGUAGCACCUCAGCUGAAGGAUACCUGCGUUGCAGCAUAUCUAGACCUUUCUAAGAUCUCUAAUUUUCCUCCGGACAUGACCAAACUUCUCUCGCUCCCACUCCUUUAACCUCGCUGCAACCAGCUUCAUUCGAUCCUCAAUCCCAAGAGGCCACCCCCGUUCCCAGCACUCCCCAAUAAUCUGCCCACAUUCCUCUUCCCGAAUCCACAUCUCCUCAAACAUAAACCUCCGGGGCAUACUUCUCAAAUCACUAUUGGUUCAAGCUCUUAUAAUGUAAAUAAUUAAGAAUAAGAUUGUAUAAUAAGGAUGAUUUUCACAUUGAUUCUACAUAUGUACAUUAGUUGUUAAGAAAUAAAUAAAUCAUUGAUAAGAUAUAUACCGGUACUAGUUACCAUGAUAUUAAUUUUAGAUUGUUGUAAAACAAAAGGAAUAGAUUGAGAAAGGAGAGAACAACCAAGAGAAUGAGAGAAUAUGUGUAUAUUAUUGAGUGGGGAACCAUCUCUUAUAUAGAGAUGAGGUCAUGAUGUAAAUUACAAUAACAACCCUAGUUGGCUAAUUACAAGAAUGUUCACUAAAUAAUAACUAUUUACAACACUCCCCUUUGGGUAUUCUCUGUCAUUAGCUUCCCCUAAUAUGUGCUUCGGUGUUGCCUCGUCAAAACCUUGCCAGGUAAUAAAAACCCUAUGGGACAAAAACAAUCCUGGUCGAAGGAGAAAAGAGUACAACGCACAAGUAGCAGUGAUAGUUAUAACCCUUGAUUUCGGUGAAGCGGUUUAGUCUUGAUCAUAAGAUGUGAGUCUAUGGGAGAUAGAUGCAUAAUAGUUGCUACACCAAAACCUUGCCCGGUAAACCCAGUGGGACAAACCCGUGGUCGAAGGGAAAAGAUGAGCAAAUGCAUAUAUUUCAAAUAAAGGCAUCUUCAAUAUGCACCAUGAGGAAGGUGACCAAUUACAUGUGUGCCUCAUUAAAACCUUGCCAGGUAACAAAACCCAGUGGGACAAAAUAACCCUGGACGAAUGACAAAAAGAGUACACAAUGGUCAAGAGUAUACUUCAGGAUACUCCCCCUAAUAUUGACUCCCCCUGAAAACUACACACUAGGUAAAACUACUACAUUGAUACAUUGAUCAUGCUUCUUGAAUAACUUAAUAGUUAGCAUGAUUUAAAGAGGUUUUUGUUUCAUAUACCUCUAAGAUUAUUGUAUUCCUUAUAGUAAAGACAUAAUCAGUUGGGAAUAAGCCUUGUGUUGGUUUACAUAACCCGUGUCAACAUAUUUAACAAGACAAACAUCAUUCCAAGGAUCAUAGGCGGUUGAUUCAUUCCAUGAUGCCUAGGGAUAAAAUGAGUCAUUUUCCAUCAUACAUUUAAAGUAACGGAAAAUUGUCUUUUAUGCCAUUUACGGAGGCGGCAUGUUGGUGCAGAGCUAUAUCUAGCUAACAAAUUCACAUCAGAUGAGAUGUCCGGUCAAGGCCAUUUAACCAGGUACAAUAAUGCGCCUAUUGUACUUAGAUAUGAGUCUUCUGGCCUUAAUAUCUCUUUAUUAUUAUCUGCAUGAUAAUACCGGUGUCUUUAGACCUUGGACGACUAUAGGUGUGCUUAAAUACUUUGUUUUAUCCUCAUCAAAAUAUCUUAAUAACAUCUUCUAGAUUUAAUUUGAUUGAUGGACCAAAAUUCCAUCUGCACUUUGCACGACUUCAGGUCGACAAAAUAAUAUUUGGUCUCCUAAAGUCAUUCAUCUCAAACUCUGAUUUCAGGUGUUUUGCAGUUUCCUUAAUCUCUUCAAGAGUAUCAGUCAAAUUCAUGUCAUUGACAUAAAUUACCACAAAUUACAAACCCGGAAUUUGUUUCCUUAAAACACGCAUGGGCAUAGUCCAUUUAUUCAUAUAUCCCACCCCAAACAAAUAUUCACUUAGACGGUUAUACCAACUCCGUCUGGAUUGUUUGAACCACUAAAGUGAACUACUCUAGCAAAUGGAGAGCAUGUUCUGUGGUCUAGAACUAUUUGCAUUGGGUAACAGAAGUCCUUCAGGAAACUUCAUGUAUAUCUCUAUAUUCAGAUCCCCAUAGAGAUAAGUUGUUACCACAUUCAUAGGCUGCUUAUUCAGUUAUUUGGAAACUACCAAACUGAUAAGGUAGUGGAACGUUAUGACGUCCAUUACGGGAAAGUACGUCUCCUUGUAAUCAAUCGCAGGGCGUUGAGAAAAUCUGUGCGUCACUAAACGAGACUUAUAUCACAAUCUCAUUUUUUCCAGUACGCUUCCUUACAAAUACCCAUAUAAACAAUAUAUGUUUAACAUGGGUAGGUGUGGGAACAACAGGCCCACAACACCUUUCUCUUAGUUAAGGAAUUUGAUUUGACCUGGAUUGUUUCUUUCCUUUUUAGCCAAUCAUCUCUUCGUUGAGAUCUAUCAACGAAGCAAGGUUUGACAUCAUCGCUUAUUAUAAAUUCGGUGGCCACCGCAAAUACAAACAUAUCAUCGAUGAACUCUUAUUCCAAUUCAAUAUCUCACAAAAUUUACAGAGAUUUUCUAUUCUUGGGAGUGGGUUUAAAUGUUGGAGCGUCCCCCAACUUUGUCUCUUCUAGGACGAACCCAUAAUCCGGAUUUAUCUCGUGAGUUGAAUUGGUUUGAGAUUGCGAUGGCAAGAAGAUUCAUUUGUGCCAAGUUUACUUUCUUCUAGGAAUAAGAAUCGUUCGAACUUAAUGGUUUACCUCUCUUCUGGACAGGGACUAUGACUGGUUAGCCGCCAUGGCCGUACCGCAUCCAACUAGGACGAUACGUCCUACGGGGACAUUUAUCCUUGCAGGUUUGCAGCAGGUAUAUAUGAUCUCGUCACUUUAACUAGAUCUUGUGAAGUGUGUAACAUAUUAUGGGCUACACUAUUUAGAUCUAGAUUCUUUGCACUUCAACUAGUAGUAGAAUUCUUUGCACUUCAAUUUCACAUGUGUGGUUUGGGGAUCAAGAUGAGACAUUCUACACGUCGUUCAUCAGGAACGCUCACAUUCUUAUCUCCCCCUAACGGAGGGAAGACUGUCUCAUCAAAGUGACGACCGCAAAAAUCUAGCGGUAUAGAGAUCUCCUGUCAAGGGCUCUAAGGAGCACAUAAUGGAUAGGGUUCAUAAUCGACAUAUAUGCCCAUCCUUUGUUGAGGACCCGAUUUUGUACGUUGUGGCGGCACAAUUGGCACAGAGACUGCAAAAACAUCAGGUUCACACCCAGUCACCAACUGUAACACGAAGUAAGACGGGUAGCAGUGGGCCUCAACUGGACUAACAUGGCUCCAUGCAAGAUUGCAUAGCCCGACGCAAACAAUAGAAGCUUGGUGCGCAUUACCAAGGUUCUAUAUGCAAGACCAUCUUAGGUUUGAACAUAGGAAACUAUAUGUUUUACAAAACCCAAGGGAUAUGCAAUAAUCAUCGAAAACCUUCGAUGUAAACUCUCUGGCAUUAUCAAGUCUUAUAGACUUUAUGGGAUAAUCCGAGUGGUGUACCCUCUAUUUCAUAGGUGAGAGUUUAGCAAAGGCAUCAUUUUCUUGUGGACAAUAGUGUGACAUUUGAUCACUUAAUUUGUCGAUGCAUCAACCAAAACCAUUAAUAUUUAACGGGUUCGUAUGGUGGUUGGAUAGGUCCACAUAUUUUUCCUUGCAUUCUAUGCAUAAAGAGAUAAUGUAUAUUCUAGUCUUUGCAUGUGAUGGUCUAGUAUUCAACAUUCUUAACGAGCAGCUUGAUAUAAUGUGUCAUUAAAGACAAGACCCUUAUUCUGAGGGGGAUGCCCGUGUGAUAAUUGAGUUGAGGAUACGGUGCAUCAUAUGUUUUUCCUGGGUGCAUCAAACACCAAUACUAUAGCUAGUAUUUGCUCGAAUCAUUUAGCUUCUAGCUAAUAAAUUUGAAUAUAGUCAAUGUACGCUUUUGGCCGCACAUUCGAAGGUUAUGCAAAGAUAUUACACCAUUUUUCUGGUGGUUUCAAUGUUUUAAGCAUUGAUUCAAUGAACUUACCUUUCGAUAACGUUCUUCUGAAACGUAAAGGUAUUUUGACCUCGUCAGCCAGACGAGAAUGCUCAAUUCCUUAAUAUUGAUAACACAUAUCAAUUUUGAUCGAUUUAGAUUCUAAGGCAUCAAGCCUUUUCAUUUCAAUAUUCUAUAAUUAUGUUUUGCUUCAAGUAAGGAAUGUCUACCUCAAAUAGUUUCUUCUGGAGACUACCAAUUAACAUGAUAAAAGCUACCGAUUUUAUCAUGUCUGGUGAAUUUUGGAAUGAAACUUCAAGUUUCUUAAGGGGGUUAUUAUCGAAACUACAAGUUCGAUUUAUACAUGAACUACUGGUUCAUUUCUGAACUAACGGUUUAUUCUUGAACUACCGGUUCAUUAGGUACAUGUAUUUUCAAGUUAUAAUCAUGUCACAAUUGAUGAUAUUAAUUUCACGCUACUAAUUUAGCAUAGUGAAUAUGUCACGUAACUAUGUGUAAAUGCUUCUGGCAAUUAACUACACAUUAAAUAUGAUGACUAUAUUAACAAUAGCCAUUAUGAGAAAAUAUUUGGAGAGUCCUAUAGACAUACAUAAUGACUAGGUACGAAAAUCCAGUGUCAUUAGAUUAUUUUCCUUUUGUUUAAUUCUGCUGGACCAAAAGAAUUGACUGAAAUUAAAGUGAAAUAAAUAAACCUAGCCUCUACAUAUUUUACAAGCCUACGGGGCACAAUCUGAGAGGUAUGCUAGACUUUUAGGUCCCGUAGAGGGAGAGUAGGCCUACUGGGCUAAUAAUGGUCUACCAAGAAAUGCAAUGUUAUUAAUCAACCCUUUCGGUAACUCCAAUUGUAUACGACUUGGUAAGCCAUGAUGAGGUGAUGGAGCGAGGCUCACUUAAGUACACAUCCUCAAAAGUAUUUGCCUAGACAUCGCAUCCAACUGGGUGGGCCUAGUUUGAGAAGAGUUAUAAUCAUUGUCAUAGACUCAAGGCGACACAUGACGAGCUUAUGUUCUAGCCUUGGAGCUUAGGUCGAGCUUCUGGCUCAAUUUCAUAUAUAUAUAUAUAUAUAUAUAUAUAUAUAUAUAUNNNNNNNNNNNNNNNNNNNNNNNNNNNNNNNNNNNNNNNNNNNNNNNNNNNNNNNNNNNNNNNNCAAUAUGCAAUCAAAGUUAAUAAGCAUGAAAUCAUAAAAUCGAAACAUAAACAACAUAUGGUUCAUGCUUCAGGAUGGUUUUUCAUGUAAUCAAGGUUUUAAAAGAAACAUGAAUUAUAAUAGAGUUUAGAAAACUUUACUCGAUGCAAAGCGAAUCAAUGAGUGUUCAUCUUAUGUGUCAGAACCGAGAAUAUUGGUGGACUAAACUUCUAAUCAAAUCCGAGAGCUUGUUUGUGAUUGAAAUUUUGAACCAUGUUGAAUGAUUCUUCCAUCGAUUGAUCAACGGUCUCUCUUCCAUGCUGCAUAAAAACUACCUUAGCGUUAGAACUAUUCGUGCUGAUAACGUGUUAUAAAACAAAAGGAAUAGAUUGAGAAAGGAGAGAAACAACCAAGAGAAUGAGAGAAUAUGUGUAUAUUAUUGAGUAGGGAACCAUCUCUUAUAUAGAGAUGAGGUCAUGAUGUAAAUUAUAAUAACAACCCUAGUUGGCUAAUUACAAGAAUGCCCAUUAAAUAAUAACUAUUUACAACAUAGAUAUGAAAGAGUCCGUAAUGACAUGUUGAGUUGGUUUAAAAACUAUUAUAUAUGUACUUUGUUCAACUAAGAAAAUAGUAUGCUCUUAGAUAACAUUCGGUUUAAAAAAAACAACAACAACAACUUAGUGCGUUAGAUAUCAUAUUUUUUAUGGUUAUCAUUUCGUUCUAUUAUAUCAUGGCCCCCCUCGCUAUAAGUUUCUAGCUCCGCCAUUGGGAGAUGGUGGUAGUGGCAGUGGUAGAAGAACAAAAGUUACUGGUGUAAUAACCAGAAAGUUCAAUCAAAAAUUUGUCGUACGUAGUUGCUCAAUGUGGGAUAUGUCUGACAGGUUUGAUUCAUACACACACACACAAGAGAAAAUAACUGAACCCCUAUAUGUUCAGUUGAAGAAAGUGCAUUGCCUAUAGCUGAUUAAUUAGCAAGAAAAAACAAAUCAGAAUUAAGAAAUCAAGAUAUAGGGAAAAGGAAACACUCGAAAGCCAUAUGCGUAAUGAACUAAUGAUCAUUUGAGACACAAUUAUUAAUAUGUAGGUAAGGGAAGAAAACUACGAAAAAGUGUGUUGGCAGGCUCUGAUGAUCUUGCUACAUGCUGCAUCUCCUAUUACCAUCUUAGCACCAGUGAAUGCAAUUAUGCAACAAAAUAGGAGGCACUCCUGCUGCCUUGAUUGAUCACUGUGAUCUGUACAUAAUCCUAUCUCUGUUCCCAAAUUGCUAGCUAGGCGUACUGCGUUGUUCCCAAAUCUGAGAUCAAUCCUGAUUGCAGUCUUCUCCUGUCAUUCUCAGCUCAAACUUUUAAGGAAAGUAACAAACAGAAGAAAGUGAGAUUAUUGCAGAUUAUCUGUUACGAAAUCAACAAGUGAAAGUCUAAGUCUUAGAUCAAACACAUCCUAAAAGUUCAGUUUUAACUAGGCAAAAUUCUUUCGCUGUUUUGACUACUUGGUUUCUUUAACAUACAUUCGGGGGAAUGAUUCCCCUAUUAAUGUAAUGGCCGAGAACGCAAUCACUACAGCUGGACUAAAACACAACCAGACUCUUUCAUGACUGCCAAGUUAUAAGCAUCCUUGAAACAAUCAUUUAUUAAUGCAGUAGAGUUAUUUGUGUAAAAACGAAUGCAAAAGCAGAAAUUUGUAGUCUCCCUCUGAUAAACUCAAUCUUUGUCUUAUUUCAGCUACUUAUGCAACUUAAUCACUUCCUUAUUAACAACUUGCAUGAUAUAAACCCCUGCCUAUUACUCAUAUCUCAGAAAACUUCAUAUUCAUUGCAAAAGAACAAAAAUUGAACUCGACAUAGGAUCAUGAACAUAAGUUACAUAACCGAUAUCACACAGGUUGAUCAUGACUCAAAAGAAACAAAGGAUGGAUAUCAUAUAGUCCAUUACCUCGGACUUGUGCACAUUAUCAUAUAAAUAGUACCCCAAGAAUCUAUGGCACUCUUCCUGAAAACAGCACAGCACAGAAGAUAAACAAAAUGUGUGAUAGGCCUUCAUAAUGGCAUUUGAGAUAGCAAUGGCUGUACAAACCCUUUCACAGACCCUGACAUGUCUUCAUCAUAUCCAUCUAUGAAUUUCCGAAAAACACACCAAAAAAAAACCAUACACAUACCAAUCAACAUGACCCUAAUCUAUUACAAGAUUUGUCAUCAAUUUCCGUUGCUUAAAAUUCCUGAGUGAUGGAUAAAGUGUAAUUGAGAGAGGUACAAAAGAUUCACAAAUGGAGUCGUCAUCUUGAAAGAUGAAGUGAAACACAGCUUCAGCGUCCUUCAUUAUUUUCAUUAGGUUUAAGGCACAUUCACAAAAAAUGUUUACUAAGAAACUUCCGAGCCAUUCAACUGAUGAAUCCAAAUUAGUGAACGUUUACUAAAAUACAACCAGACUCUUUCAUGAGUGCCAAAUUAUAAGCAUCCUUGAAAUAAUCAUUUAGUGCAGUAGUUACUUGUGUAAAACGAAUGCAAAAGCAGUAAAUUUUUAGUCUUCCUCUGAUGAACUCAAUCUUUGUCUUAUUUCAGCUACUUAUGCAACUUAAUCACUUCUGCCAUAAUCAUAAAUAGAUACCAUUGUAUAAGUUCCAGUUUCUGUUGUCGACAACCAAAGCCAGUGCUGUUCGUACCUGUCCACCAGUUAAAGUUGUGCCGACCAAAGGAGCUGACCAGCAAUUGGGGCUUCUCUUUGGAAAUUGAAGUGGCAGAUGUAGAAUUUGCUUGUGUAGGAUUUGCCAAACGUAACAAACGAUCAUCAGUACAUACUAAUACAAAAGAAAUUCCUUAUUCUUCACCUUUGUCUUAGACUACUGUGUUUUCAAAACAAACAGGCAUCCCCUUUCGUUAACCACCGAUUCACUGAAGGUCGACUAAACGUACAUCAAACUUAUCAAAAACUGAAAUGGAUGCUUGAAAAUUGAGAGGAACAAUUUUAGACAAUGAACAUAAAGCAAGUGAUUUUAAUGACAAUCAGAACCAAUAUUUCUAAUGUAAUUAAUACAGCAAAGUUCAUUUCAAAACAAACUUUUUCCUUUGUUUAAUUUGCUUAAAUCCUUUCCAGACUUAUAUCCAAGGAAAUAUAAACAUGAAAAAAAAACCAGAUGUUGUUAUUGUUGUAGUGACAGUAGAAUAAAUCUUAAACCAUGUAUUUUCAAUGGCAAGGUACUCAUCAACAUAGCAGUGCUGGUAUGAAUAAAACAUGCAAUGUGCUUUUCAACCUGAAAAGCAAUUGAAUCCCAUUCUCUCCCGCCCACAACUUCCUAUAUCACAAUUCCAGACAUAAUCCUCCCACGGCUAAAAGGGAUCACACUACCAUCUAGCAAACACACUGCAACGAUCACACUACACAUUCUCCCGCAUAAUCUCAACCCCAAAAUCUUCAAAUCCCAAAGUCGCAAACCCGCUCCUCACAGUCAUGCCCACCACCUGUUCGACGUAUUGACCAUGCAUUUCCACCUCCUCAAAACCCUCACCCGCCGCUAUUCCCGCGACCCAUUUCCCAACAAGCUCUCCCACUACCUCCACCGCGCCACCCUCAUCGACUCCAUCCGUCUCAAGCUCCGCACCAACACCCCAAACUCCCUCACUCCUUUAGCAAACGACACCCGCCUCCUCGACUCCUUCGUAGUCACGCAAGCCCUCCGCUCCGCUCCAUCAGCCGACUCUGCCCUCUUGCUCAAUGAAGCCCUCAAGCGAAUCCUGGUUUCGUGCACACCCAGAACACGGUUCAUGCUUUGGCCACGGUUCUGGCCAAGUCUGGCCGUGCCGGGGAGCUUAACUAUCUUAUUAAAGCUGUCAAUGCCGAGAGGUUUGGCAACGUUAGACUGAGUUUCAUGAACAUUAUGAGCUGGCAAGCUGCUGUUGGGGACCUGGAGGCGGUUCUUCGGACGUGGGAGGAGUAUAGAAGUGCGGAGAAGCGUGUGUGUGCUGAAUCUUACAAUGUUGUCAUGAGGGUUUAUGCGGAGCUGGGGAAGGAUUGUAAGGCGGUGCGGGUUUUUUAUAGGAUGGUUGAGGAAGGGGCGCUUCCGAAUUGCAGGACUUAUACGGUUAUGAUUGAGCAUAUGGUGAAGUGUGGGAAGUUGGAGGCUGCGAUGGAGGUGUUCAAGGUGUUGCCUUUUAUGAGGGUGAAACGGAGUUUGAGGCAGUAUCAGGUUUUGGUGGAGGCGUGCGUUGGAGCGAAGCAGUUUGAGGGGGUUAAGGCUUUACUUGAGGAAAUGCGGGUUGAUGGGAUAUUGCUUGGCCGAGCUAUGCUUUUGUCGUUGGAACGAAUGCGAGAGGCGGGGUUUGUUGAGGAGAGUGAUGAGUUUUUGAGGGAAAUGUUGCCUAAUGAGGCAAUUAGUAGUAUAGGGUAUUGUGAUGAUUGUAGUGAUGAUGAUGAUGAUGAGGAGGAUGUUGAUGAUGAUCGUGCUGGGAAGGGUAAAGAGGGUAGUGGGGUUCAGUUAAAACCUUGGUUAGACCCGAGAUCACUGACAAAUGCAUUACAAAGUUGGAGCCCCAAUGAGGUAUCAGCAUUAGAGGAGGCAAAUUUUCUGUGGACUACGCGGUUAGUAUGCAAGAUUCUUAGGAAUUUUAAAUCAGCUGAAAGAGCUUGGAAGGUUUUCUGUUGGGUUGCUUGUCAGCCAGGUUUUACCCAUGAUAUAUACACAGUUCAAAGGAUGAUGACUCUUUUAGCGCGCCAUAGACAUGCUGCAUUGGUUGAUAAACUUUUGUCCAAAGUAAGGAUGGAGCAAAUGAGAUUGCCGUUUUCAACAAUCAGGCUGAUCAUUGACUUCUAUGGUCUCUCGAAGAAUGCUGACGCUGCUCUGAAGGUCUUUCACAAUGAUAGAAACCUGUGUGGCCCUAUAUCAGGUUUCAAUCUGAUGCUUUUGUAUUCAUCUCUUUUACGAACAUUGACCAAAUGCAGGAGGGAUUCAGAUGUAAUGGAUGUACUUGAAGAGAUGAUCUUGAGUGGGAUUUGUCCCAAUAUCCAGACAUUUUCUGGGUUGAUGCAUCAUUUUGCACUGAAUGAUGACAUCAAAAUUGUGCAGAAACUAUUUGCAAUGGUUAGGCAGAGUGGUGACCAGCCAGAUGCUUAUAUGUUUAAAGUGCUAAUUCAAGCAUAUUGCAAGUGUGAGAGAGCUGCACUUGCGUAUAGAGCUUUUGAAGACUUGAGGAAUUUGAAUUUGCUGCCGGACGCUGCCACAAAAGAGUUGCUUGUGAAGAGUCUUUGGAAGGAAGGCAAGUGGAGAGAGGCUGCCGCUGUAAAAGAGAGUUGCAAAGAAACAAAUGAUGUUCUUCCACUCACUUUGCGUGGUCACAUAUGGACGGUGAGCUCUACUGAUCUCUCAAAGGUUUUUUCUAUUUACUCCAGUAGCUCAGCUGGUGAAUAGAAUUUUAGAUUAAUAUUAAAAUGGAGCAAUGUCUAGAAGUUAGAGCAGUAGUUUUGGAAGAUGUUUGAUCUUGGAUUUUCUGUAAUGUACUGGCAUUUCCCCCUUCAUGGUGGACUAAACUGAAACCAAGUCUAAUUUCUUUUUCUGGAUUAAUCGAGUUUCAUGUGUUUCCAUAACUUUUGAUAGAGAGGGCUCGCCUGGUUAUAUGUUACUAUUCCCUAUCAUAUAGUCACUCUGGUAGUUUAUUUUCUUUUUAAUUGCCUGAAUAUUUGCUUGUAUUUAAUGCUUCUAUGGAAUUAUAGCUACUGCAGUUAUCUAUUAUGGUUGGCCUCUACUAUAGUUCUGUGGAUAUUAUUAUUCAAGGAGUGUCCUGAUUUCGCUUUUGUUUGUAAUAUCCAUUUGUAUGUUUUGUUUGGUUACACAAAAGUAUCAGUUUUGUCAGAUUGGCCUUUUCCAAAAGGCACCUAUUGCCUAUGGGCGUUUUCCUGGCCUAAAACCUUUCUGAGGUCCUAUUUGUCUCAUGUCAUGAUCUGAUUCAAUGCUUAAAAGGAAAUUAAUUCGAGUCACCGUGUCUUAAAGCUAGAUUGCCUACAUUUUUUGCAUGUCUGUGGUACAUAGGUUGAGUUUGUUCAUUAUACUUCAUAGCCUGAGCUUGUGUUAUUUAGGGGGGUAAAAGGCCUUUAUAAGUUUAUAUAUCUUUUGUCUCGUAUCAUAUCUGAUGCCAUGGUAAAAUGGAAAUGGAUUCGAGUCCUCGUGUUUAGUUUUUGAUAAGAAUGAAUUCCCUGAUCAUUUGCUUCUGUCUGUUACAUUGGUGCUUGAACUAACCAGGCUGUAUACCAGUAGUUGUCUCCACCUAUUAAUUAGCUUAAACUAUUAGGUUGAGAUACUCAAUAUCCUCUUAAAGGCACCAAGUAUAGGUUACCUAAGCUGAGACAACAAAAAGGGGAUCACUUAUCCACUUAUAUACCCAUUAAAACAGUAGAAGCAUCUCAGAAAUUAUACGCAUGUAACUUGCAUAUUCCACUGAGGUAAAAAUGUGUUUCCUUUUGAGUUGCCUGGUUAUGUGUUUUCUUCGAAAAUGGUAACACCGCCCCUGUUUAUCUCAUGUAAAUCCCUCUUGCAGCCGUUUAGCAUCUGAUAAGCCUAAAAUAGACUUAUAAAUAACCCUGCAAUCACAAUCAAGUUAUCGAUGGUAGUAUAGAAAAGUAGGGUGUCUCCCGCAGAGGAUUGUGACUCAACAAUUGCAAAUAUAACUCUGAAAAACUGAACAGACACUAGACAAAGACGAAAACAAAAACUAUAGCUAGACCCAACAAAAAAUUACGAAAUUAAAUCUGGAGAAACUAGACACACUGACGAAGACACACACAAAAUUUGGGGGGAAACUGUGUAGUUUUGCUAUGCUAACAAAAUUCAGAAAUAUGACAGACAAACUGAUCAAAAACAAAAAACUAAAUUUGGGGAUUUUGGUUUUGGAAAUCAAAUAACAAAAACUAGUUAGGAACCACUCCUCACCACUAGACAAUGAUUGCACCUAUGAUGUGUUUACUAACAUGUUCAAUUCAUUCGGAUAUCCUUACUCAAGCUAAGCCAAUGAUGNNNNNNNNNNNNNNNNNNNNCUUGGAAGCAGCCCCUAACUAAGGGAAAAUUAGUUACUCAUCAUCUUUGAAAACACAUAAGAGAAUUUCAUAAGAUUCGGGAAGAAAAGAAAAUACGAAAGAUGAAAAGCAGGGGAAAAGAUUGAUUUUCUGAGUCGAGAGAUCAAUCUCUUAUGGGCUCUGAACUUUACUUCUUCUCUUUGAGUUCUUGACGGCUCCCUCUUCUCUUCUGUGUUUCUUCUCCUCUAGUAUGACAGCUUAGCCUCGUUCUGGUAUUAGGGUUCUGCCUUAAGUAGUCUCCAAGUCUUCAAAGCUUCUUUUUUAGACUAUGUUUCCUUCUUUGACUAGGAUCAAUGUUUGGGCUAUCUUUUAAAUGUCUUCCACAUAUAAUCUGGGCUUGGCUUUUGGGAAAAUUAUAUUAAUGAUAUCACUCUUUGAAAUCGUGUAAAAACCCCCAAGAAAGCUUCUCAAAAUCCAGCCCAAACACUGCCUCGAACUUGACUGCUGCACAGCUUUCCCGGAACUGCUGAUUUUCUGUCCAACUUCGACGCUUCAUAACUCCUAGAUGCCAUCACCUAUUUGGAUGAUUCUUGACUCUAAAUUGAUCUACAAACGCACCUCUACAAAUCUGGGUGGCCAUCUUGGUGAAACCAUUCUCGGAACCUCAUGGAAAUAGGCCUUGAAAACCGGAGAAAAUAAGCAGAAACCAGUUUUCAGCUUUUUGUGUUUGUAGCUUCUGUUUUGGUGAAGUGGUUCCAUCGCCUUUCCUUGAUAUUUUUGACCAUGUGAAUGAUCAAACUCCAUCCUUGACAUCUCUACUUCGUAUUGGAAGCCUUGCUUGCAUCACUUGAACACAUAUUUGCAUUAUCUUGCUCCAUGAAGUACCUAAGAAAAUAACAAAGUUAAAACGAUCUUUUUAAAGAAAAAUAGCUAAGUUAAAUGCAAAGGUUAAACUAUAAAAUCAUCGCAUUUUAUGCUCUUAUCAGCAUCUAAUGUGUGGUUAUUUUGAUUGAAAUAAUCAAUUGUCUCUAUUUUGUUGUCUUGACGAAAGUACAAGUGUCGACAUAUUGGUUUAUUCUAAAGGCCAACCUAUAACUCGGAGGGAAAUUCAGGAGGCCUAUAAGCAUUAAGCAACCUGCAAGAAUUUUCUCGCACCAACCCUUUAUCAGGUCAGUUCCUAUUGCAAAAUGGUUUCAUGAUUUUGAUGCCAAUGGUUUGAUGCUACUUGGAACUAUCAGGAUAUUCUCUUGCUGUAUAAUUUCAGUUCUGGUGGACCAUCAAAUAAUUCAUUUUGCUGUUGAGUUAUUGACUUUGUAUAUAGAAAAUGGUAGUAGGGAUGGACAAGCUGCCGGCCUAACUUGGUUUUGUGCUUUAGAUUAAUCAGAUAUGUCUGAAUGUUUCUUAGCAGGAAGAAAUUUUAUAGUGCAGAAAAUGGUCAAGUACGGGAAGGCUGCUUGCAUUUGGAUGUAUUUUGUGUCUGAAAGUGUAAGAGUGACUUGAAAGAUGCUUCUGCAAUUUUUUAUGAUGACCAAUGCUAGAACAGCAGAAACAAGGACUAGUUCAAAUUGAAGCUACAAACAGGGUCCCUUGGAUUAUAAAUAUCAUAUUUUAUAUCUUUUUAAUGUGGGACUGAAAGUUCCUCUUUGUCUUAGGCAGAGAACUUUCCUGAAAAUAUUACAAUAACUACUUGAUAGCCUCCGUACACCAUAGCAGCUUGAGGAAAUGGCAGUCUCCUUCCUAUGUUCAUCAAUGGUCUGUAUUCUGCUACUGUUCUUCUUCACCUCUCAAAUUUUAGCCCAGCCAGCACCACAAUCAAACUCGACCACAAGCUUUUCAUGUGCAGUAGAUGCACCAUCCUCAUGUGAAACAUAUGUAGCUUACUUUGUAGAAUCUCCAGGGUAUAUGAACCUGGAAAACAUAUCUGAUCUAUUUGGGGUCAGUGUGUCAUCAAUUUCCCAGGCCAGUAAUCUAGCUUCCAGUUACACAGGUCAGACUCGAUUGGUUGCAGGCCAACUCUUACUAGUACCUAUCACCUGUGGUUGCACUGGAAACCGGUCUUUUGCGAACAUCACCUAUUCCAUCAAGAGAGGAGAUAGCUACUACGUGGUUUCGAUGUAUACAUUUGAGAAUCUCACCAGAUGGCCGUUAGUGGUAGAGAUGAAUCCGGCUCUGGUUCCCAGCCUCUUGCAGAUUGGUGUCAAAGUGAUUUUCCCUUUGUUCUGCAAAUGUCCCUCGAAGAUGUACUCAGAUUUAGGAAUUAAGUAUCUCUUGACAUAUGUCUGGCAAACCAAUGAUGACAUCUUUAGAGUGAGUGCCAAGUUUAAUAUUUCAGCAUUGAACAUCUCAGGCGCCAAUAACUUCGACAAUGGAAGUCCAGUAGUGGGACAACCAGUGCUAAUCCCACUGACAAAGUUGCCUGCUCUAUCCCAACCCCUACCCCCUCAUGGGAAACACAUAUUCAAGCACCGGUUGAUGCUCAUUGUCAUCAUAUGCUUGGGGGUUGCUCUAAGUGUUGCUUCUCUUUUGGCAAUUUUCUUGGUGCAUACUCAUCGUCUGCGCAAGAGACAGAAGCUUUUGAAUGACAAGAGUUUAUCUCUGGAGAGCGCUGAAUGGUUUCGAAUGAAAGAAGGAAAGAGUGAAGAAAAGAUUGAGAUGAAGUUCAUACAGGACAAGCUUCUUCCCGGAGUUUCAAGCUAUCUAGGAAAAGCAAUUCUCUAUGAUGUCAAAACAAUUAUGGAGGCAACCAUGAAUCUAAACGAUCACUGUGGGAUUGGAGGGUCUGUAUACAGGGCAGUAAUUGAUGGGAAGGUCUUGGCUGUGAAGAAAACCAAGGAAGAUGUCACUGAGGAACUAAAUAUCCUGCAGAAGGUAAAUCAUGCAAAUCUGGUGAAACUAAUGGGCAUCUCAUCUGAGAUAGAUGGAGUUCGCUUCUUGGUUUAUGAAUAUGCAGAAAAUGGAUCACUUGAUAAAUGGUUGUAUCAUAAAACAUCAACCAAUUCAAGUUCCGGGGCAUUCCUCACAUGGAGUCAAAGAUUAAGCAUAGCUCUAGAUGUCGCCAAUGGCCUGCAAUACUUGCACGAACACACACAACCGAGCAUCGUUCACAUGGAUAUAAGGACUAGUAACAUACUUUUGGACUCCAAAUACAAGGCCAAGAUAGCAAACUUCUCCAUGGCUAGAACAGCCGCAAACAGUGUUACACCAAAGGUGGAUGUUUUCUCUUUUGGUGUUAUUCUGCUGUCUUUGCUUUCAGGGAAGAAAGGAAUGGAAACGACAGAUAAUGGCGAGGUCAUUAUGUUGUGGAAGGAUGUCAGGGGGGUUUUGGAAGCUGAAGAGAAAAAACAGGAGAAGCUGAGAGCAUGGAUGGAUCCAACUUUGGAGAGCUUCUAUCCCAUUGAUGGUGCUUUGAGCUUGACAGCCUUAGCAAGCGCAUGCACACAGGAAAAGUCAUCAGCAAGACCAAGCAUGGCAGAAGUGGUCUUCAACCUCUCUGUUCUUACUCAUUCAUCGUCUGAAUCGACGCUGGAGAGGUCUUGGAAUUCUGCAUUGGAAGUAGAAGAAGUUCUUCAAACUAUCAGUCCUAUCAAAGCUCGCUGAUUCGGUGAUCAAGAAUCUUUUGGUGCAAUCUGAUGUAUACUUCUAUAGUUCUAUAUACAUAAUAAUGUACUAAACAACUUACACUUUGUUCCUUAGUGUAGUUUUUUUUUUAUUUGUGUGUAAUUGGGAGUGUUAUACUGUAGUAUCAAGAAAAUCCCAACUUUUCAUUCACGGUGAUGGAAUUCAGUGUAUAUUAGACCUCAUAUACAUUAGUGGAGCAUAAUAAGAUUGCUGUUUAGUGAUGCAGCUGCAUAAUAAUUUGUGAAUCAGUCUCAAAGAAGCCGGGGUUGAGUUAUGAAUGGCAAAACCAUGAGUAAUUUUCAGAACCAUGGAGCAUUAUCAUACAGUUCAUACUUCAUACUACUUACUGUUGUGGUGGUUUCAAGUUUUCAACCUUCAUCCUGUUGCAUAAUUCUAUUCUCCUCCUCCUCCCAAAAGUAAUAACCUUGAUCUUGUGUUUCCUUGGUCAAACAGCUAUGCUCUUAACUUGAGUAUGAUGCUUGCUUGUAUUUCAUUGUAGUAUAUUGAAAAAAGUAUAUGAGAGAAGAUCAUGACAUCAAUAUAUGUAAUUUCCAUUCUAUUUUUGGUUUAUUCUGUAAAUUCUGGUUCCUAUCAGCAGGCAAGACUCGUUAAAAAUGAAGGUUGCAGCCUGCAGUGAGACGUCAUAGACUUGUUUAAAGUAGUGUUACUACAACUCAUCAUGUUCAUGAUCUACUAAUUGGGAUGCUAAUUUCCAGCCAUAGCCGCAGUACUGCUCUUCAACAAUCACAGCAUCUUCUUGCCGGCCCUCUGGAAAAAAUUGAAGCCAUGGACUUGGAUUGAUAAAAUUAUGCUGACUAAAUGAGUUGGUCUUAAUGAAAUAUUCUUGUACUGCAUAGUCUGCAUACCCCUUAAGAAACUUGGAUCAAUUAGCAAUGGCCAUGCUCUCUUUCCUACCUCAUCACUACCCAUUUUCCAUAACUACAUAGCAUAUUCUCGAUCAAUUCCCAAACCACACCAUCACCACAGGCGGCCCAGACUACCAUUGUUCUGCUUCUGCAGAUGCCCCUAGCUCAUGUUCAACAUAGGUCAAUGUCACCUAGCAAAUCCAAGAAAGGUGACAAUAUGCACUUUGUUGCGCAGCCAAAUUUACUCAAGAACCUCACCACUACAAACAUGGUGAAUAGUAAUUACUUUGAAUCCUGGUAUAAACCCGGCUUGUCAUAGCAGGAAUGGAUAUAGUGUUUCCCUUGUUCUGCAGGUGCCCGCAAGACUCAUCUAGAUAGUUAAAUCAAUUUGCUCAUCACUUUUGUAUUGAAGUCUACUGACAUGUACAACCGAGUAUUGUCUGGUGGGACUUCAUAGCCAGGAACAUACUAAUAGGCUCCAAGUUUAAAGCCACGAUAUCACAAGAUGGCUACCUGCUACAAAUGCUACGAUGCCUGAAGUAGUUUUUGCAUUUGACAAUUUUGUUUGAGUCUGAUGAUAAGGUUGUUAUUUUCUGAAAGGCAAUAGUAGUAGACAAAAAUGUGAGUACUGGAAAGUUAUACACACACAUGAUGCAUAAGACUGAUAACAGUACUUAUUGAGUUACAAAAUUAUUUGAAGCUACUACAUCUAUUUUACAAAAAGUUCUGUAUUUUCCUAUUUGCAUCCAAUUGUAUUUUCAGCACAGAUGAGAGUACUUGAGGCAUUCUAGGUCUAUCUUCUGGUUCUUCAGCCAAGCAGGCUAGACUUAACUUUAUCAAUCUUACUGCAAACUCCAUCAAGUGCUCUACAUUCAAAUUGGGAUCUACUAUUCCAACAAGGGCAACUUCUCCAUCUCCUCCUUCCAUUACUAAAAACACAGCUUCUGAAAGAAGUGCUUCUACUCCAUCCUCAGUGAAGACAGCUUCUUUUCCUGUUACUAGUUCCAGCAUGACAACCCCAAAAGCAUAUACAUCCAUUGCAGGUGUCACCAACCCAUAUUCUAUAUAUUCUGGUGCCAUGUAGCCUUUUGAUACAUGUGCAAACUUCCGAGAUGAAAAGCCAUAAGUUUCCUUCUCUGCUGAUCUUGCAAGACUGAAAUUGGCAAUCUUUGCCCUUAAAUCUUUAUUGAGAAGAAUAUUGAUACUUUUAAUAUCCUUGUGCACAUAGGCAGGACUGGUGAAAUUGUGAAGAUAGUGAAGCCCAUUGGCAAUGUCCAAAGCAAUUUGAACCCUGUGCUUCCAUCCCAAAACUUGUGGACAACUUAGCCAAUCUCUUAAUGAACCAUUCUCCAUGAACUCAUAGACAAGGUAGAAAUCCUUACAGUGUUGGCACGCGCCCAAAAGACUUAUCAGAUUGAAGUGGUUGAUCUUUUGCAGUAACUUCACCUCCACACUCACAUCUUUGGUCAUCUUUUUUAUGGCUACUAGCACAUUUCCACUGAGAAAGCCACUAUAAACAGAGCCACCUAACCAGUUCUUGCUGCUGAAAUCAUCUGUAGCACUUUCCAGUUCUUCAUAUCUAUAGAGUUUCAAACCAGCAUCAGCUUUAGCAAUGGAAACAUACAGUUCUUCUUGCAAAUCCAAUUCCUUUUUGGAUUUUCCUUCAGCAAUAAUCUUUGGAGAACCCCUUUUCCGAUGAUACAAGAGGGCCACAAAGAGACUCAUGCAAAGGACUACUACAAAAACUCCAAUCCCUAUCCAAACAUAUACUUUCCUUAACCUUGUUUUUCCAUGAAUAGGCCUAACCGAAGGAGAAAUCAGUGGCGGGGGAUACUGGAUUUGGGUUUGAAAGCUUGAAGGCUCUACUGGAAGUGGAAUGAGAAUUGUUGUAAAGGGAAACAAAGUAGGAUCGUCUUCUGUAAACCCAUUGGCCUGAAGGACACUCUUUUCACUGACAUUAAAUCUCUUACUAACUUCAGAGACAGAGUCAUCCCAGCUAACCAAGUAGGUUAACAAAAAUUUAGUACCAUUCAAAGUUUGGUUUCUUGUUGGACAAGCACACCUAAGUGGUACCUGUAACUUCAAACCAGGUUCCACACUAGUUGCACUGUAAUUGUUAUGGCUCAUGAGAGCAUCACAAGUAGACAAACCUUGAUAUGUGUUGUUUGCUAUUGUAAAAUAGGUGUCAUCAAUGCUGGGAACUAGAAAAGAGGUUUUGGCCUCAUAGUACUGACCUGAGCAAGAACAGACCACAGGAACAAUCACCUCUUUGCUUGUAGGCAACAACUGUGUGUUAGCGGAGAUGAUGUUGAUUCGAGCAAGCUCAGAUGGGUCUGAAGAUGUGAGGUUUGAGAUGGCGGAGAGUGAAUUGUAAGGAGGUUGAGACUUGAAGAUCAAGAAAGACUUGCAGGACUGCUUCUGACCAUUGCAGGUGUAAAGAAAAGCCGAGGAUGGCCCUGCAUCAUCAGUGCUAUUACAGUCCAGAACUGAGUUACCGGCAUAGCUUUGUUGAGCUUUGAACUUUGGAGUGAACAGCAAGAAAAGCAAGAAAACAAGUAUGGAGUAGUACUCCAUCAUCAACUUAGUUUCUUCGUUGCUGAAACUUGAACAAGGUGUUAAAUAGUGUUAGGCAAUGAUAAUGUCUACAACAUCAGCAUAACCGCGUCCACGAAUUGAAUAAUAGUUAUGUGCUUAUGUUGACUAGUUCAUCAGGUUGGGGAAUUUCCCUACAUUCAACCCAGAUAGGACCCAAAUUUAACUUAUUUCAUGGAUGAAUCUUCUUUAAGGAGAAUAUUAGUUAACAGAGUCUAGACUUUAGGGUUUAGAGUAAGGUAUAGUAUAAUAAGAGGAAUCACAUGCAUAACAAGAGAGCCUAUUCAGCGCACCCGUUAUCUCUACCGUCGAUUUUGACGCGAACUUAACAGAGCCUUUUGACUUUUUCAAAAUCGACAGUGGAGAUGACGGGUGCACGGCGCACCCGGGUGCGCUGUAUAAUUUUUGGCGUAACAAUGCUCUAAGACCAAAAUCACCAAAUCUAUAUCAGACCCCCUUCUAGAUUUCAAAAAGACUUAAUGGUUUUUUUUCCCGUAUUGCAGAAAGUUUUUUAUUGAUCAAACUAAUAUAGGUUACAAUAUGAACACAACUCAACUUCUCGUGCUACGUAAAAAUGGAAUCAUGCAAAACAUCCUUACAGAACCCCCUAAGUUAUUUCUACAUUGCAAACCCAAUGAUGAAGCAUCUUGAUCAAUAACCGCCUUGGCGGCAAACUAACCAAGUAACCAACCACCAAGGCACAAUCGCGAAGGGGGUUCUAAUGCCCAUCACAUAUUAUUAGACUACUUCCGGGACCACCCUACGUAAAAGGGCUAUAAACUUUCUUUUAGGAAUGUUUCCAUAGUCUAUCGUGUAUUACUAACCGAAUCAAAACUUUUAUGUAUAAUUAUUAAUUAGAAAGUUUUAGAUGCAUUAAACAAAAGAAAAAUGAAACUUAUAAAAUGAAGAAAUUUUUUUAGUAAAAAUGAAAGAAAAAGAAACCCAACCAAUAUCAUCUUAUUCAUUGAUAGGAGCCCUUUAUAUAGGGAAUUACACAAUACCAAUAUGGUAAGGAUAUGAAUACAUAGAUCUAGUCUAACUACAUAUCCUAUUGACAUAAGGCCAAGGCACACAUAGAGAAUAUCCUAGAACACUCCCUCUUGUGCCGCGCGCUGAUAUGCCGAUGGUGCUGAUCUGUUGCCUCGUCAAAAACCUCGUCAAGUCACAAAAACCCUGUGGGAGAAAAACUGAACCUUGAUCGUAGGAGAAAAAGAGUACAACGCACCAUUCACAUUUGAUAGUGACAUGUAUGUAUGUGCUAGACUCCUUCUAAAGUUCGCACCUCCCCCUGAUCUUUACAUCAAUCAUAGGGCUCUUCCUGAUUCUUACUAAUCACGGAAGUUUCAACAACUUAGCAUGUCAAUGCUUUUUAACAUGUCUUCAAAUGUGGCAUUGGACAAUGAUUAACUAAAUCAUGCCGUAUUGUCCUCAAAUGAUCUUUUACACUUAGAUCUUGAGGAGAAGGUUGCUUGUGAACUCAAAACAUAAGUUCAUGCAGGAAAUCAGAUUUCCGCGCAGCAUGACCUUCAAUUACUAGAACAGUCGUAACUUCCUCUAGGAAAUACAUAUGAACGAACCGUAAACGGUUUUGGAAACUAGACUCAUUUAGCUUCCAACCGUAUAUCACACACAUUCUGGUUCAUCAGGAGCUGUUCACAAAGUCCCGUCGAAGUUGACCGUUUUGCCAAAUUCAGAUUCUCGGACAGAUUCGUCCUACUUUACGAAAACGGCCAUAACUCACUCAAUAUGAUAGGUAUGAUCAAAUGGUUGGUGUCUCUGGAAAGUAGACACAUAGACCUUUCCAAUGGUACCAAUUUCACCAUUUUCCAGUGAGUGAGAUUUCCUAUAGGUCCCGUGGAAGUUGACCUACAAAACUUGGCAGAUUCUGAUUUCGCUUUUGAAGUGUCUUUCUUAUGUAGGGAUAGAAUAAGCCUCAACCUUUCAUACCAUUAAGUAUUGAAAAAAGAGUUACUGCCAUUACAUUGGCGUUGCGUGGGCGCAUAGCUACACUUAGCUUUACAACUUUUCAUAGCGAAUGAGAUGUCAAGUCUUUCAUAUUGUGUUGAGUACAUUGAUGCGUCUAAUUGUACUUAGAUGGGAACUCCAUCUCUUAACACAUAUUUGUCAUCUUAUCUCUUAACACAUAUUUGUCAUCUUGCUUUAGACAAAACACGGAUCUCUNNNNNNNNNNNNNNNNNNNNNNNNNNNNNNNNNNNNNNNNNNNNNNNNNNNNNNNNNNNNNNNNNNNNNNNNNNNNNNNNNNNNNNNNNNNNNNNNNNNNNNNNNNNNNNNNNNNNNNNNNNNNNNNNNNNNNNNNNNNNNNNNNNNNNNNNNNNNNNNNNNNNNNNNNNNNNNNNNNNNNNNNNNNNNNNNNNNNNNNNNNNNNNNNNNNNNNNNNNNNNNNNNNNNNNNNNNNNNNNNNNNNNNNNNNNNNNNNNNNNNNNNNNNNNNNNNNNNNNNNNNNNNNNNNNNNNNNNNNNNNNNNNNNNNNNNNNNNNNNNNNNNNNNNNNNNNNNNNNNNNNNNNNNNNNNNNNNNNNNNNNNNNNNNNNNNNNNNNNNNNNNNNNNNNNNNNNNNNNNNNNNNNNNNNNNNNNNNNNNNNNNNNNNNNNNNNNNNNNNNNNNNNNNNNNNNNNNNNNNNNNNNNNNNNNNNNNNNNNNNNNNNNNNNNNNNNNNNNNNNNNNNNNNNNNNNNNNNNNNNNNNNNNNNNNNNNNNNNNNNNNNNNNNNNNNNNNNNNNNNNNNNNNNNNNNNNNNNNNNNNNNNNNNNNNNNNNNNNNNNNNNNNNNNNNNNNNNNNNNNNNNNNNNNNNNNNNNNNNNNNNNNNNNNNNNNNNNNNNNNNNNNNNNNNNNNNNNNNNNNNNNNNNNNNNNNNNNNNNNNNNNNNNNNNNNNNNNNNNNNNNNNNNNNNNNNNNNCUCUUACUCUCACUACGCUAUCUAACAAAGGCAUAGUUGAUAGGGUUUAGCUUGCGGUGUCGGCAUCACCUGCCCAAGGACCUAUCUCUUUGUUAAUGCUGGAUCGCAUCUUUCCAUUAGGCCAAUCAACUAAGUUGAUAUCCAUCAACGAAGGGUGGUUCGAUAGUAGACUCAUUAUCUCACGUCCUCAUGUACACUAGUGUAAUACUUGUAGAGAAUUCUAUAUGGAUUGGAUUUGACAUUGAGGCGUCCCCCAACGAUAAUCACAAUUCAGACUUCAUGAGACGGAUUUGAGUAUCACUGAUCAAUGGAUCAGGUUGUGCCAAGCUCGCUUUCUUUCUAGUGCAAGACAAUAUCGAACCUAAGGGCCUCCCUCCUUUUAGGGAGCCACACGGCCUUGUGACACCAAUUUUGCCACUAUAUGGCGUCACCAUAUCACCAUCCAUGGUGAUGGCGUCAAGACCAACACUUUUUGAUCGCGCCAUGUCUUUUUGUAGGACAUCAAUCCUUGCAGACAUAUUUGCAGCAUGUGAUCUCGUCACUUUAACAUUAUAAGCAUUUGGGAUCAAGAUGAGACUUAGUGGGGACAAACCACGACAAUUCACGUCGUUCCACUUGAACACUUGUGUUCUUAUCUCCCCCUAACGGCGGGAAUAUUGUCUCAUCAAAGUGACAAUCCGCAAUUUAGCGGUGAAUGAGAUCGCCUGACAAGGUUCCUACAUAUGCAAAUUAUAGGUCGAGGUUCAUAUCCAACCUAAACUUAUUCAUCUCAAAUGACUCAUCAUUGUACGCAGUAGUAAUGCGAUUUGGCACCUAGAAAUAACAUCUAGCCGAGCUCAAGGAUUGGAGAUCCGUUUCAAUCCUGCCGAGCUCAAGGAUUGCAAUUUCGUGUCAAUCCUGGUACAGAGUCACGAGCUGUAGUAUAACAAAAUUCAAUGAUGGUGGGUCGUAGAUGAAUAGUAAAGCUGCAUGCAAAUAUUGCAUAGCCCCAAGACGCAAUAGAAAGAGUGGUGCGCAUCAAUAAUGUUCGAGCGACAAGCUAAAGUUGCUUGGUCGUAGCCUCGGUGAGACCGUAUUGCGUGUGAACAUGGGGUACAGGACACUUCAACUUACAUCCCGAUGAACUUCUUUAAAGAAUGGGCAGUGAGCCCGUAGAAGUAUAAGCAGUAUAAGCAGUAGAUAAUAGUGUAACACGUGACCAGUGUGUUAACACGUCAACCAACACCAUAAAGCAUAAAAAGGUGUCCGCAAGUUAGUUGUAUCUGUAAUAUCCCACAUCGGCCAAACGGAGAGGGGUUAUGUGCUGUAUAUGUACAUACCCACCUCCAAUCUAACACGAGGCCUUUUGGUGGCUCAGCGGCUUCGGAGGGGAUGGGUACUCUGAGGUUAAGCAUGUUGAUGCUAGAGCAAUCCUAGGAUGGGUGACCUACUGGGAAGCUGUUCCUGAGCUGUCGGAAACAAAACCGUGAGGGCCGGUGGGCCCAAAGCGAACAAUAUCGUGUUACGGCGGAAUGGGUCCUGGGUUGUGACAAAUGGUAUCAGAGCCACUCUGCCGUGUGGUGCGAGUGUGCCGACGAGGGCGUCGGACUCCCAAGGGGGGUGGAUUGUAAUAUCCCACAUCGGUCAAACGGAGAGGGGUUAUGUGCUGUAUAUGUACAUACCCACCUCCAAUCUAACACGAGGCCUUUUGGUGGCUCAGCGGCUUCGGAGGGGAUGGGUACUCCGANNNNN